UCGGUUUCUAUCUAUGAUAAACUUAUACCCAGUACGAAAGGACCGGCAUAAGAAAGCCAAUGCUAUAAGCACGCCUUUAAUAACAAUCACCAACCAAAUUUAACCACCUCCUUUCUAAACCAAGACAAGGUUAAUUAAGGACACAGCCCUUA
rnacentral:rRNA from 1 species